GAAGACAGCUGACAAGAAGACAUAUGUGUGGCUCUUCAGACUGAAGCCCUUCACUCAGCAAAUCCUCUCUUCCCCAUUUUAGGAAAUUAAGUGUGACUCAGAGCUCAGCAUUGCGAAUCCACGUGGAACUCGGAUGCCUUUAGAUCCAUUUUGGAAUUUGACCAAGAUGAUGGAGAGCCACUGAGAAACUCCAGCCCUGCAGAGAGGCAGCCACAUUUGCAUCGGAAGGACCCACUCCAGCUGCAGGGUGGAGCGGAUUUGGAGGGUGACCACACGGGAUGCUGCAGGGCCAAUGAGCCUGAAGCCAUUGGAAAGGCUCUGCGGAUGCCAAGAGAAGCACAGUCGUCAUGCUCACGGAACUUACAGUAGAGUGGGAAACACAGACGCUGAUCAAAUAGUCACCCAACCCCUACCCACUGAGCUACCUGCCCCAAGGAAAAGGACUGUGGCUCUAGGAACUCGAAUAACUCAGGAGCCUGACGUAGGUGUCGGCUCCGGGCGGUCGGAAUGGAGGUAAGAGCACCUGCAAAGGCCCUGUGGCAGGCAGGAGCCCAGAGGGCACAGGGAUGCUGUGACGGCAGGAUGAGUCAGGGCUUGCUCUGAGUCCAGAAUGUGACCAGGUUAUGGGGCACAAGGAAAGAGAUGUGGCAGCAGGAGAUACAAAAACGGGCCCCCUGGUGACAGCUGCAUUAUCUCCAAGGUCUCACCAGGACAACUGGCCAUGGUCUGUUCGUUUGUUUCCCCAGCAAAGAGGAGCCCUCGCUGCUCUGUGGCUGCAGACGCCCAGCGCUACCUGGGAUCCAGGUGGAUGCAUAACUUCCGGAAAGGGCUGUCUGGCUUUCUAUGGUUUUGUGAAGAAGUAAGUGUCCGGAGGCGAUGAUGUCGGCUCAUAAAAAAUGUUCAGAACUUUGUAUUUAUGCCUUGUAGCACUCUGGCAAAAAAUAGCGCACCGU